UCGGGAGGGGGAGGGGAAGCGGAGGAAAGGGCGGAACCUGCGCCGCAACGUUGCGGUGAGUCCGCCCGCCUGCCCUCGGCUUCCCUGCUGUCACCCCUUCGGCCUGCGGACAAGGACCGGUUCCUGACGCAACACCCUCUUUGAAGACAACGCCAUUUAACAGAGGCUCCAAAGAGAAUGAGAAAGAGGACAACCCACCCCUUUCUGUGAACUGGGGAACCGCGCUGUUCAUUUCCCCUGCUGGGAUUCUGAGCUCUUGCCUUCACACUCUCAACGCUGGCGGGGCCUGACCACCACUCACCUGUCCUGCAUGCAGCUCUGCAAGGUGGCACAGCACGACAGCGAAUGACUCGGUGUUAUUCUGCUGCACGCCUACGUUCACGGCUUCCAGACUGUUCAUGCUCAGCAGCAUCUGGGCUUGCUGAAGUGCCAUUGUGCUACAGAAGAGAAGGACAUGAUUGACCUCCAUUCAGAAAAUCCUACACGUGCCUUUUCUAAGCCCUAAACUUUUAAUACGAUGAAGUAACUGAGGCCCAAAGAAGUGAAGUGACUUGCCC